rnacentral:rRNA from 1 species
CGAAGGGGGCUAGCGUUGUUCGGAAUUACUGGGCGUAAAGGGCGCGUAGGCGGCCUAAUAAGUCAGAUGUGAAAGCCCUGAGCUUAACUUAGGAACUGCAUUUGAUACUGUUAGGCUAGAGAGUGAGAGAGGAAAGUGGAAUUGCGAGUGUAGAGGUGAAAUUCGUAGAUAUUCGCAAGAACACCAGUGGCGAAGGCGGCUUUCUGGCUCACAACUGACGCUAAGGCGCGAAAGCGUGGGGAGCAAACAGGAUUAGAUACCCUGGUAGUCCACGCUGUAAACGAUGAGUGCUAGAUGUUGGGGAAAUUAUUCUUCAGUGUCGCAGCUAACGCAAUAAGCACUCCGCCUGGGGAGUACGGUCGCAAGAUUA